ensembl:misc_RNA Metazoa_SRP Metazoan signal recognition particle RNA
GCCAGGUGUGGUGGCUCACACCUGUAAUCCCGGCACUUUGGGAGGCUGAGGUGGGUGGAUCACCUGAGGUCAGGAGUUUGAGACCAACCUGGCCAACAUGGUGAAACCCCAUCUCUA